ACUAAAGGCCACCGCCCACCCCGGCCUUUUUUCGCGAGAUUCAAUCGACUCUCCUAUAUCCCACAACUGCGGCGAUCAGGGCCGGCAGAUUGGGGGUGGCCGCCCGCCGGCGGACCUUGAAUCCACCACACAACCAUCCCCACGAGCACUCCGCUCUAUCCCCCUGCUCGCAGCGACCGGCGACGGCGGAUUGGAGGAGGCCGCCCGACCGGCCGAGCUCAGAUCCACUACAUCAACCAGCGACAGCGGAUUGGAGGAGGCCUCCCCACCUGUCUCUCUUUCCCCACAGAUUGCAGCGACCAGCGUCGGCUGACGAAUAAAGACCGAGUCUGCACUUGUUCGAAACUGAAUAAAGGCCGAGUCUGCACUUGUUCUUGUUUAACUGAAUUCUGGAUGCUCCAUAUUUCCAACUUCAAUUACUAAAAUCAUGCCACCAGUUCUGGAGAGUGAUAUGCAUAGCAGGGAAUAUCUUGCGGAACAGAAAUGCAAGGGUGAGGCAUAUUUGAAGGAAAGGGAUGCAAGGAUUGCGGAACACAAGGCUGCGGAGCAGGAGUCUCUUAAAGACAUACAAAGCAUAGCUCGUAGCCUUGUAUACCCUAGUGCUCCUAAUGCGCAACUGACACAGAAGGCACGAGGUGCUGAUGAUUGCAGUGACUUAGAGUAUGAACCAGAUGCUGAAGAGGAGGCCUAUGUAGAGGAAGAGGAUUUGAGAGGUGAAGAGGAGGUCGCUCUUCCUAAGUCCAAAGCAAUGGAAGCAUUAUCAAAUAAGCCACCCAACAUUACUCAUGAGAAUUGGACUAGCCUUGUCAAUAAAUGGUCUGAUAAAAGAAACAAGAAAAUAUGUCAAAUGAAUAAGGAAAACCGAGAAGCUGUCAGGCAACACCAAAAGACGGGAUCUAUGUCCUAUGUUUCCUAUUUCAGCAAACUUAAAAAAGACAAGUACAAUAAUCAUGACCCAAGUCCCAUUGAGUUUUUUAAAGACACCCAUACAAACAGCAAGACUGAUAGCAUGAGCUGAGUCAGGACUUCUAGCUCAUAAUGCGAUGGAAAAGAGAAGGGAAGCACAAUCAGAAGGUGAGCAGCCAGUAUCCGAUACAUCAAUUGUGGCUGAAGUUCUAAAGGAAGAAAGCGCCCAUAGCACCGUCCUUUCUAGCAUGGGGUAUGCAUCAAGAUCCGGGAGGUCUGGGAGCUCUACUUUAUGAGCCUAGAUCCGAUUUCUAGAAGAAAGAAUUGAAUAGAAGGAUAGAGAGGCAAGAGAUGCAAAUGACAGGCAUCGGGAGGAGUUAGUCGCAAGACUUGAAGCACGAGAGAGAGCAUUUCAAGAGAUACAAAAGAAGCAAUAAGAAGAAUUGGAAGCUCUAAAGAAGAGCCGGCAAGAGAAGAAUGAAGCCUGGGCAAAGAAGCAAAAGGAGACGGACAAUCUGCUUGAUUUUUUCAGGGCUCAAGCAACUCAGCAAGCAACUCAGCAGUCCCAGUCCCAACCAGAUGGUUCAUGAAUGCCAUCCUUACAUUGCAAUCAUCAGGAUAACAUAUGUGGUCUUUAGUUAAUAUUAGUUUUCAUCUUGUCUAUUGUCUGUGUUAAACUUGAGUCCGUUUUUUACCGCCAUUUUUGUUUACAGAAUGAUUUGGCUGAGAUGAUUUCAUACAUAAUAUGAUUUGUCUUUGAUAUCAA